rnacentral:rRNA from 1 species
AUUGAACGCUGGCGGAAUGCUUUACACAUGCAAGUCGAACGGUAGAGGGGGCAACCCCUUGAGAGUGGCGAACGGGUGAGUAAUAUAUCGGAACGUGCCCAGUCGUGGGGAUAACGUAGCGAAAGUUACGCUAAUACCGCAUACGAUCUAAGGAUGAAAGCGGGGGAUCGCAAGACCUCGCGCGAUUGGAGCGGCCGAUAUCAGAUUAGGUAGUUGGUGAGGUAAAGGCUCACCAAGCCAACGAUCUGUAGCUGGUCUGAGAGGACGACCAGCCACACUGGAACUGAGACACGGUCCAGACUCCUACGGGAGGCAGCAGUGGGGAAUUUUGGACAAUGGACGCAAGUCUGAUCAGCAUUCCGCGUGCAGGAUGAAGGCCCU